UGUGCUAAGGUAGCAUAAUCACUUGUUGCCUAAUUAGCAACUAGAAUAAAAGAAAGCACGAAAUCCUAACUUUUUUAGUUAAUAUUUAGAUUAGAUUAGAUAUUAAAAUAUAUCUUUAAAUUAAAAAGACGAUAAGACCCUAGAACCUUUAAAACUAAUUUUACUGGGGAGGUAACUAUUAACCACUAGUAAUAGAAACAUUAUUUAUGAGUCCAUCUAUCUUCUAGGAAAAUUCUAUUUAGGUACUCUAGGGAUAACAGCACAAUUUCGUUUUUAAGCCCUUAUUAACAGCGAAGAUUAUGACCUCGAUGUUGAAUUGAAAGAUCUUAUUUAAGCAG
rnacentral:rRNA from 1 species